GGGGACUGAGAGAGAGAGAGAGAGAGAGAAGGAAGGGGGUGGGCGAGGGGUAUAGGGAUUGGGGAAAGAGGCGAGGGAGAGAGAGAGGAAAUUGGAAGGGAGAGAAGAAGGGGUGGUGCGGAGCCAUAGAUCGGUAAUCGAGGCUGCUGCCACAGCCGUUGCCAUGGCGGCGUCGCAGCAGAAUCUGUCGACUCUCUGAUUUCUUUCUCUUCCCCCAAAUUGGUUUCUUUCCGUUUCGGAUAUCAAGACAAGCGGAGAGAAGAGCGCAGCAGCUAGCAAAGCGUGUAGCGGGCGAGGAGGAGGAAUUAAAGAAGCAGAGAAGGGGAAGUGGAGCCGUGUGUGUAUAACUGUAUAUAUAUACAGAGAGAGAAGGGACGGGCAGCGUCGUCUGCUUCUGCUGCAACGCCGCCGCUUGCAGCACGCUGCCGGGGAGAAAAAAAAGCAGCAGCAGCACGCUGCCGGGGAGAAAAAAGCAGCAGCAGCUGCUGCUGCUGAAAAAAAGCAUACGGCGCCGACCGUUCCGCUUCGUGCCUUCGCCUUCUUUAUCCCUCGGAGGGAUGGGCAGAUAUAAUUAAGGCGGGGGGAGAGGGAGUUAUGGCAGGGUUUUUUCUGGGAGGAGGAGGAGGAGGCAGCGGCGCCGGGAGCGGUCGUCAGCCACCGCGCGGCGGAGUGCCUACUGCAGAAGGCGGUUUGUUUCUUUGUGAACCCCGCGGCGGCGGACGGGACGAGGACGCCGCUGCCGCUGGGUAUGAGAUUCGGGGGUUGGAGCUUUGGCAGCAACACGGCCAGAUCUACCCCGGUGGUGCCAUCGUCUUCCCCGACGAGGCCCAACCGCUCAGCGGCGUGAGCUGCCGGGACUGCGGGAACCAGGCGAAGAAGGACUGCGUCUACCUCCGUUGCCGCACCUGCUGCAAAAGCCGCGGCUUUGACUGCCCAACACAUGUCAAGAGCACCUGGAUCCCUGCCGCCAAGCGCCGCGAGCGCCAGCAGCAGCUCGCCGCCGCUCCUCAGCCGGAAUUCACCAGCUGCGACGGCACCGAGCCUUCCAAACGCCAGCGGGAGCUCGCGGCGGUGAGCACGCAACCCACGACUGCAAUCGCAGCCGCAUCCACGUUUGGUUGCUGGCGAGCUACAGGAGAGCUUCCCGGCGGAGUUGAGCGCGCCGGCGGUGUUCCGAUGCGUGCGGGUGAGCCACGUGGUCGAGGGGGACGACGUCUAUGCUUACCAGGCGGCGGUAAGCAUCGGCGGUCACGUUUUCAAGGGGCUGCUCUACGACCACGGCCCGGAGGAGGGGUCGGAGAUAUACCCAGGAGGCGUCGGCGGCGGCGGCGGCGGCGGCGGUUUCUCCUCUUCCCGUCACCAUCAUCACCUCCAACCAGGCGAGACCGGCUCCUCCUCCUCCCCCACUCCUGCGGCCUCGCUCAGAGACGCCGACAUCAACGCGACGGCGACAGCGCCAUCCGUCGACCAACUGCUCGACCCGUAUCCGGCGCCGCUGAGCGCGUUCAUGGCCGGCACGCCGUUCUUCCCACACCAAAACAGACCUUGACACACGCAUCGCCUUCGAUCGAACUAGAGAGAGUAAUUAAAUUGCAGUUUGGUCACUGCAUCUACAUGGAAUUAAAGCAGAAGAAGAGGGAGAUGAAGCUACAGUUCUAUGGUUGCAUGGAAGUAAACAGGGUCUGCAGAGGAAUACUGGGCGAAAUGAUGAAAAAGGGUGAGGGGCUACUGCAAGGGACUUAAUUGGAGGACAAUGAGUGUGUGUCACUGCUCCUUCAAGGGGGGGAUACGGAUACACUUGUCCCUUCCUGCCAUCUUCUUUGCGCCCUUUGUCCUCUAACUGCAUUCUCUCACCUAGCUUCAAUUGAAAAGAUCAUCCUUGGCUACAGAAUGCCAAUAAGGCACCCAAUGUAAAUCUUGGUGAAACUGUUCGAGCAAGACUCCAGCAAUUUUCAAUGAUAAAUAAAUUUAAAAAGAAAGCUCUUAGGGUGAUAGCUGAACACUUGUCUGUGGAGGAGAUUGCCGACAUAAAGGAAAUGUUUGAGAAUAUGGAUAUCAACAAAAAAGGGCAGAUAAAUUUUGAUGAGUUAAAGUAUGGUUUGCGCAAGCUCGGACACCAGGUUGUUGAUUCAGAUGUCAAAGCAUUAUUGGAAGCAGUAA